UCGUCGAGGUGCAGUGGCAAAACGUGUGGCUUUACACGACAAUUGUGGGUUCGAUUCCCACUUGAGGAA
rnacentral:tRNA from 1 species